UGAUGCAGCGACGCCGCGUGAGGGAUGACGGCCUUCGGGUUGUAAACCUCUUUCAGCAGGGAAGAAGCGAAAGUGACGGUACCUGCAGAAGAAGCGCCGGCUAACUACGUGCCAGCAGCCGCGGUAAUACGUAGGGCGCAAGCGUUGUCCGGAAUUAUUGGGCGUAAAGAGCUCGUAGGCGGUCUGUCACGUCGGAUGUGAAAGCCCGGGGCUUAACCCCGGGUCUGCAUUCGAUACGGGCAGACUAGAGUGUGGUAGGGGAGAUCGGAAUUCCUGGUGUAGCGGUGAAAUGCGCAGAUAUCAGGAGGAACACCGGUGGCGAAGGCGGAUCUCUGGGCCAUUACUGACGCUGAGGAGCGAAAGCGUGGGGAGCGAACAGGAUUAGAUACCCUGGUAGUCCACGCCGUAAACGGUGGGAACUAGGUGUUGGCGACAUUCCACGUCGUCGGUGCCGCAGCUAACGCAUUAAGUUCCCCGCCUGGGGAGUACGGCCGCAAGGCUAAAACUCAAAGGAAUUGACGGGGGCCCGCACAAGCAGCGGAGCAUGUGGCUUAAUUCGACGCAACGCGAAGAACCUUACCAAGGCUUGACAUACACCGGAAACGGCCAGAGAUGGUCGCCCCCUUGUGGUCGGUGUACAGGUGGUGCAUGGCUGUCGUCAGCUCGUGUCGUGAGAUGUUGGGUUAAGUCCCGCAACGAGCGCAACCCUUGUUCUGUGUUGCCAGCAUGCCCUUCGGGGUGAUGGGGACUCACAGGAGACUGCCGGGGUCAACUCGGAGGAAGGUGGGGACGACGUCAAGUCAUCAUGCCCCUUAUGUCUUGGGCUGCACACGUGCUACAAUGGCCGGUACAAAGAGCUGCGAAACCGUGAGGUGGAGCGAAUCUCAAAAAGCCGGUCUCAGUUCGGAUUGGGGUCUGCAACUCGACCCCAUGAAGUCGGAGUUGCUAGUAAUCGCAGAUCAGCAUUGCUGCGGUGAAUACGUUCCCGGGCCUUGUACACACCGCCCGUCACGUCACGAAAGUCGGUAACACCCGAAGCCGGUGGCCCAACCCCUUGUGGGAGGGAGCUGUCGAAGGUGGGACUGGCGAU
rnacentral:rRNA from 1 species